rnacentral:lncRNA from 1 species
AGAUUUCUGCAGAAGAGGAGGACGAAGGUCGCCCACGGACCCUCGGGUGACCUCGGUGCGGCCUGGUGGCCGGGCACACCCGCGCAUGGACGAGGUCCCUCCCAGGGGUCUCCCUGCAGGGGUCUCCGGGGAGGUAGUGGGCACGUGGGUCCUUAACCUCUCCAUUGCAUCAUCCCCAUCCCGGUGGGUACAGAAGCGCAGCAACCCCGCGGUGCUCCCGGAAGACACCGCGUCUCCAACAUUUACACGGAGAUGCUGCUCGGCUCAGGUCGGGUCCGUACGCUUCCCGAGGUGCGUACUACGCGAGCCACACACAUCACUACCGAUAUUCCUGAGAAAGUCGGUGCCACACCCUUCACUUUUCUACGGAGUUCACAUCAGUUUCAGCAAUCCGCGUUCUCAGUUCGCUUUGCCCGGGCGAGUGGGUUCCAUCAUCACCUGAACCAAAAACGCACCAGGGCGCGCGUGCCCAGGCACCAAGGCCAGAGAAACCGCACGUUUCGAGUCCCCAGUUGCUGAGAAACAAUCACAGCCCUCCUCUUUUCUCCCCCUUCUGCAGGUUCCGACCUGAAUCUGAAAGUGCUUCUAAACCCCAUGCUUCACAGAACGUUCGGAGGGGGAGGCGCUCCGUGGGGGCUGCUGCGUGCCCAUGUAGCCGAACUGACUCGAAUAAAAGCGUGUCCACGUCUACAUCACACAUCUGUGUAAAUGCAGAAGCCUGCGGAUGCGCGGGGCUGGCCAGACUUCACAGUGUGCAGACACAUGGGCUCAUGCACGCGCACGCGCGCGCUCACACACACACCCCAAAUUACCUCCGGGAUGGAGAAAGCCGCUGCGGAUUGGCCAGCAGAGCCGUCACUCACGCCCAGGGGGCAGGGAGACUUCGCAAAGCUGUUUCCUUUUUUUUUUUUCCUCCUCUCCUCCCUACCGUUUCAUUUAAUGGUAAAACAACAGCAGAGCUCUGAAAGUUAGCCAUCUGCGCAGAGUUUGCCUUCUUUAAGGAGGGAGGCGUCAGACGAUAUCCAUUUAAAUAUAUUUUGUACUUCCACAAAGGAUGGAAAGGGAAAUUCACGAAGGGAGUGGAGGCGGAAAGGGAGCUCCGAGAAAGAAGGAGGGGUCAUUCCGCGGGGGGCGGGGGGGGGGGCGGGGGCCGACGCAGGGGAAAGAGUUGCUCUCUACACCGAAAAGGGACUUUGACCUUCCAUUGAUCUCGAAAUUCAAAAACGUUUCUUCACAGGUCAGAUUGUAACAAACACUCGUUCCUAAUUUAUGAACUCGCCGUUUUGAUUUUAUUAUUUAAGCAUGCGCCAGCAAUCGUGUUUCCUUAAGAAAGAACUGACCUAUUUUUGGCUGGAGAUAAACGAUCAUGUUAACAGAUGUUAAUCUUGUAAUCUGUUUUUCCUGUAAGCACUUUACCUAGCCGGGUUUCAGACCUUAAAAAUAACAUCUUUUCCAAAAAGACCUGACGUCACAAUUCACUCCCUGAAAAAUCACACUCCCCCUCCAGUUUCUUCCCCUGCAAUGAUUUCAAAGACAUUAAAUCUUUUCCACUUUAUAAAUGCUGAUCUGUUCUGCCUCUACUCCCACAGGCUCUUAUUUGCAUUUCAAAUUCCACAGGUUACACCAGUCGCCUUUUCAAAAAAUGUAAACCAACAAUGCAGCAGCAAAUGGCUUUUUGUGCAUCUGGAUUAAAUAAAGCACAGAAUGAAUAUAUUUAAAAAGAGGGCUGCGCAAGU